UACGGAAGGCAGCAGUGGGGAAUAUUGCACAAUGGGCGAAAGCCUGAUGCAGCUAUGCCGCGUGUAUGAAGAAGGCCUUAGGGUUGUAAAGUACUUUCAUCGGGGAGGAAAAAACAAACUAAUAAUUUUAUUUCUUGACGUUACCCGAAAAAGAAGCACCGGCUAACUCCGUGCCAGCAGCCGCGGUAAUACGGAGGGUGCGAGCGUUAAUCGGAAUUACUGGGCGUAAAGGGCACGCAGGCGGUUAAUUAAGUUGGAUGUGAAAUCCCCGGGCUUAACCUGGGAAUGGCAUUCAAGACUGGUUAGCUAGAGUCUUGUAGAGGGGGUAGAAUUCCAUGUGUAGCGGUGAAAUGCGUAGAGAUGUGGAGGAAUACCGGUGGCGAAGGCGGCCCCUGGACAAAGACUGACGCUCAUGUGCGAAAGCGUGGGGAGCAAACAGGGAUUAGAUACC
rnacentral:rRNA from 1 species